CCGACCUUAGCUCAGUUGGUAGAGCGUGAGACUGUAAUGGUUGCUAUAUCUCAAUGUCACCUGUUCGAUCCAGGUAGGUCGGA